rfam:Ornithorhynchus anatinus chromosome X5, whole genome shotgun sequence.
CCCCUCUCAUAGUCGCAACUGGAGAGUUUCCAGUAUUCUACCAGUCUCCACUAUGGGAGGAAGAGUUAAGCAGAAGCAUAUCCAUUCCAUUUCUAGCUUGGGCAGUGGCUAGCGAGUGGAAGGCAAUCUGCUACUAGU